UACGUAGGAUGCAAGCGUUGUCCGGAAUUACUGGGCGUAAAGGGCGCGCAGGCGGUCAGACAAGUCUGCUGUGAAAUCUCUGGGCUUAACCUGGAGGGGUCGGUGGAAACUGUCGGACUAGAGUGCAGGAGAGGUUCGUGGAAUUCCCGGUGUAGUGGUGAAAUGCGUAGAUAUCGGGAGGAACACCAGUGGCGAAGGCGAUUACCUGGGGUUGAUCUGACGCUGAGGAGCGAAAGCUAGGGGAGCAAACGGG
rnacentral:rRNA from 1 species